UACGUAGGGGGCUAGCGUUGUCCGGAAUCAUUGGGCGUAAAGAGCGCGUAGGCGGCCGUGUAAGUCCGACGUGAAAUCUGGAGGCUCAACCUCCAGCGGUCGUUGGAAACUACCUGGCUAGAGUCCGGAAGAGGAGAGUGGAAUUCCUGGUGUAGCGGUGAAAUGCGCAGAUAUCAGGAAGAACACCGAUGGCGAAAGCAGCUCUCUGGGACGGUACUGGACGCUGAGGCGCGAAAGCGUGGGGAGCGAACAGG
rnacentral:rRNA from 1 species